UUAAGAGUCCUGAAGGAACGUUGAAGACGACGACGUUGAUAGGUCGGGUGUGUAAGCGCAGCGAUGCGUUGAGCUAACCGAUACUAAUGAACCGUGAGGCUUAACCUUACAACGCCGAAGGUGUUU
rnacentral:rRNA from 1 species